rnacentral:lncRNA from 1 species
AGAGUAGUAGGACCUGUCUCAAACAAAGAAAUAGGAACCCAAAAGGGAAAGUCCAAAAUGUUUUAAAAUUAAUUUUGAGCAGCAAUAUGAUCCUUGUACUUUAUACACCCUAUCUAUGUUUACAAAUCAUAGACAUAAAUAACACAGGUACACUCAAAUAUUGUAGGAAACUUGCCAUUUCCCUAGGGGGCUGUGGAGAUGGCAAAAUGGUUAAGAACACUUGCUAUCCUUCCAGAGGGUCCCAGCAUCCACAUGGCUGCUACAAUCCUCUGUAACUAGCUCCAGGGAACCCAACACACGGAUCCCAUACAUGGACACAGAGGCAGAUGAACCCCAAUGAGUUUAAGGAUAGCCUGGUUUACGCAAACCAGGGUUACAUAAGUGAGACCUGUCUUGAAAAACAAAACAAACUUCCAAAACUUAAAAAAAAAAAAAAAACAAAAAAAAAACCCCAAAUCCCCUGACUACAAUGUUAGGUAACUAGAUAGGCAUGAGCAGGUGAGCAGGCCUGGGGGCUUCUGACGAUGGACUCCAUCUCCCAUUCCCUUAUGGAAGGGUGGAGGGAGCACUUUGUUAAGGGCCACACAGAGGAAAGCUAAUUCUCCCUGGUUAGAGGAAUGGAAUCUGAGUUCUUCUCUGGCCCGUGGUGGAGAGGAAACAUUCUGGUUUGCUUUAAAUACUAGGACACCACAUGCAACUGCCCUCUCCCUUUACAGUUAAUCCAACCUAGCCAGACAGUCGCUUAGCCAGGAUGCCCCUCCCUUAACCAGGAUACCUCUGAUUCGCCUGAAGACAAGUGAAGGAAAUGGAGAGAGAACUUUCCCUUUAAGGAGACUCCUUAGGUCUCAUAAGCCUCUCUAUUGUGCAGUUGUUGCACAGGUUCAUGGUUCAUCCGACUGUGUUCCUGAGUUCUGGCUCAAAAGUCUAACUUUCUUUUCUCCUUCCAGUCUUUUCUUGGGUACUUGCCAGGAUGCUAAGCAGGCUUGCUCUAGCUCUCCCCGCUCUCUGGCUGAUUUCUCUGAAGUCUUCUAACAUCUGCGGCUCCCUGCAGACCUAUGGCUGAUCUAUGUAACUCAAAAUGCACAAUUUUCUUUCUUUCCUGUCUUUCUCUUAAAGCUACUCGAAUUCCAAUUUGCCUGUCUUGUUAUUUUCUCAUAUUUUAAUAAAACGGCCCUCAAGCUUCCUUUAAGGCCAUUACAAAAUUUUUUCUUUCUUCCCCAAAGACAGAAUCUUACUGUGUAGCGUUGGCUGACCUGGAACUCCAAAUGCAGAUCAGGCUGGUCUUGAACUCCUGGAGAUCCAGUCUGCUUCUGCCUCCUGAUGGCUGGGAUUAAAAGGCAUGUGCCAACACACCCAGCUUCUAUCAACGACACCAAGAACCCAUAAAAAGGGAAUCAAUUCCCCAGUAACACAUGUUUAAAGGAUACAUAUGCAACAUGAUUUUCAUGUUAAGACUGUGGGUCUCUAAGAUAGCUCUUGUGUGCUUCUUGUGUCUCUGAUUCUCUUGCACUGGGGACAGAAGAUACUCAGCCUGGAGCUAUAGCAAUCACAAUGGCUCAGUGGGUAAUGGCACUUGCUGCCAAGCUUCAUGUUUGAGUUUGAUCUUUGGGCCCCACAUGGUUAAGAAGACAGAACAGAUGACUUCUGUAUUUAUGUGUGCACGUACCCCCUUGUAUGCUCAUAUACACAAAUGUAAUGUAUACCUAUAAACAUAAAUUAUAAACAUGUAUUUUAUACAUAUGUAUAUAUACAUACACACACAUAUAUGUAUAUAUAAUAAUAUAGUAUGUAUAUACAAUAAUGUGUAUAUGCAAUAAUGAUAGUAAUAAUAAGUAGGAACAUAGGAUGAGCUUGGAACUUGGGUGCCCUGCCACAGGGCUCUUGCCUAGCAUGUAGUUUGAAAUGUUCUGUUGCCCUUGUGUGUGCUGCUGUGCUCCUCUUUGAGCUUGAAGGUGCAGAGGAGUUGGAGGCUGGGCGGAGCUAUUUGAACGAUAAUGUGUGUGUCUAUGUCUCUUAAUGUUCAGAGUUGGAGAGAUGGUUCAGCAGGUAAAGAUGCUUGUGCUACAAGCUGGACAGUCUGAGUCUGAUCCUGAGAACCUACAUAAAGAUGGAAGGAGGGAACCAACUCCACAAAGUUGACCUCUGACCUCCAUACACACAUAAUAAAAGAUAAUUUUUU